GCAGUCCUGAGAGCAUCCACAGUCUGGCUGCGACCCUGGCCUGUGAGCACCUGAACUUCUUCCUGUCUAGGGAAGGGACAGCUAACAGCGGAAGCCAACGACCUUGGUCUCUAUCCAGGAACAUGGGUCCUGAUGGAGGCUCUGAGCCUGAGUUUCCUACCAGUUGGUCUGAGAAUGAUGUGCCUGCUUGCCCUGGGCACCAUUCGUCUGCUCUACUGAGACAGUGCAGGGCAGAUCCACGUGAGCCAAGGGACAGAGUCUCACCCCAGGCUCUGCUCUACCAUUUCCAGAUGUGGGGCGAGCUCUGUGGGUGGCAGGUCUCGUAUGCCAAUCUCAUCAUGUCGGUGUGUUUCUGACAAGCAAGCACACCUUUUAUAAUAUUAAGAAAGAUGAAUAAAGAUUGAUUU
rnacentral:lncRNA from 1 species